rnacentral:rRNA from 1 species
GAUGAACGCUGACAGAAUGCUUAACACAUGCAAGUCUACUUGAUCCUUCGGGUGAUGGUGGCGGACGGGUGAGUAACGCGUAAAGAACUUGCCCUGCAGUCUGGGACAACAUUUGGAAACGAAUGCUAAUACCGGAUAUUAUGUGAGUUUCGCAUGAAAUUCAUAUGAAAGCUAUAUGCGCUGCAGGAGAGCUUUGCGUCCUAUUAGCUAGUUGGUGAGGUAACGGCUCACCAAGGCGAUGAUAGGUAGCCGGCCUGAGAGGGUGAACGGCCACAAGGGGACUGAGACACGGCACUUACUCCUACGGGAGGCAGCAGUGGGGAAUAUUGGACAAUGGACCAAAAGUCUGAUCCAGCAAUUCUGUGUGCACGAUGAAGUUUUUCGGAAUGUAAAGUGCUUUCAGUUGGGACGAAGUAAGUGACGGUACCAACAGAAGAAGCGACGGCUAAAUACGUGCCAGCAGCCGCGGUAA